rnacentral:rRNA from 1 species
UACGAAGGAUGCAAGCGUUAUCCGGAUUUAUUGGGUUUAAAGGGAGCGUAGGCGGUCUUAUAAGUCAGUGGUGAAAUCUCGUUGCUUAACAACGACCGUGCCAUUGAUACUGUAGGGCUUGAGUACAGUUGCCGUUGGCGGAAUGUGUCAUGUAGCGGUGAAAUGCAUAGAUAUGACACAGAACACCGAUUGCGAAGGCAGCUGACGAAACUGUAACUGACGCUGAGGCUCGAAAGCGUGGGGAUCAAACAGG